AACAAAUCUGGAGAUAGCUGGUUCUCCCCGAAAACUAUUGAGGUAGUGCCUCGUGUAUGGCUCCAGGGGGUAGAGCACUGUUAUGGCUAGGGGGACAUGGCGUCUUACCAAACCAUGGCAAACUCCGAAUACUUGGAAGUCUGAGCACGGGAGACAGAGCACCGGGUGCUAACGUCCGGACUCAAAAGGGAAACAACCCAGACCGCCGGCUAAGGUCCCUAAUAUUGACUAAGUGGAAAACGAAGUGGGAAGGCUAAGACAGUCAGGAAGUUGGCUUAGAAGCAGCCAUCCUUCAAAGAAAGCGUAAUAGCUCACUGAUCGAGUCUUCCUGCGCGGAAGAUGUAACGGGGCUAAGUCAAUAACCGAAGCCGCGGAUUCGCAGCAAUGCGAGUGGUAGGGGAGCGUUCUGUAAGCCUGCGAAGGCGGAUCCGCGAGGACCGCUGGAGGUAUCAGAAGUGCGAAUGCUGACAUGAGUAACGUUAAAGCGGGUGAAAAGCCCGCUCGCCGCAAGCCCAAGGUUUCCUGCUCUACGUUCAUCGGAGCAGGGUGAGUCGGCCCCUAAGGUCAGGCUGAGAAGCGUAGCUGAUGGGAAGCUGGUUAAUAUUCCAGCACCGAUUUCAAGUGCGAAGGGGGGACGGAGUCCUGAAGGUCAUCCGGGUGUUGGAUAUCCCGGUUUACGAGCGUAGGAGGUUGACAGGCAAAUCCGUCAACAGAUCUCCAAGGCGAAGGAUCGAGGUUGAGAGAUCAACUGAAGUGACUGAAUGGGCUUCCAGGAAAAGCCUCUAAGCAUCAGCUUGGAAUUGACCGUACCGCAAACCGACACUGGUGGGCGAGCUGAAUAUGCUCAGGCGCUUGAGAGAACUCAGGAGAAGGAACUCGGCAAAUUGACACCGUAACUUCGGGAUAAGGUGUGCCUUUGUAGUGUGAAGGGAGAAACACCCCGAGCAUGAAGAGGCCUCAGAGAAUCGGUGGCUGCAACUGUUUACUAAAAACACAGCACUCUGCAAAGAUGAAAGUCGACGUAUAGGGUGUGAUGCCUGCCCGGUGCUGGAAGAUUAAUUGAUGGGGUGCAAGCUCCUGAUCGAAGUCCCAGUAAACGGCGGCCGUAACUAUAACGGUCCUAAGGUAGCGAAAUUCCUUGUCGGGCAAGUUCCGACCUGCACGAAUGGCAUAAUGAUGGCCACACUGUCUCCUCCUGAGACUCAGUGAAGUUGAAAUGUUUGUGAUGAUGCAAUCUCCCCGCGGCUAGACGGAAAGACCCCAUGAACCUUUACUGCAGCUUUGCAUUGGACUUUGAACCGAUCUGUGUAGGAUAGGUGGGAGGCAGUGAAGCUAGGACGCCAGUCUUAGCGGAGCCAACCUUGAAAUACCACCCUGAUUUGUUUGAGGUUCUAACCUAGGAGCGUAAUCCGCUUCGGGGACCGUGCAUGGUAGGCAGUUUGACUGGGGCGGUCUCCUCCUAAAGGGUAACGGAGGAGUGCGAAGGUACGCUAGGUACGGUCGGAAAUCGUGCUGAUAGUGCAAUGGCAUAAGCGUGCUUGACUGCGAGACCGACAAGUCGAGCAGAUACGAAAGUAGGUCAUAGUGAUCCGGUGGCUCUGCAUGGAAGGGCCAUCGCUCAACGGAUAAAAGGUACUCUGGGGAUAACAGGCUGAUACCGCCCAAGAGUUCAUAUCGACGGCGGUGUUUGGCACCUCGAUGUCGGCUCAUCUCAUCCUGGGGCUGUAGCCGGUCCCAAGGGUAUGGCUGUUCGCCAUUUAAAGAGGUACGUGAGCUGGGUUUAAAACGUCGUGAGACAGUUUUGUCCCUAUCUGCCGUGGGCGUUGGAAGAUUGACGGGGGCUGCUCCUAGUACGAGAGGACCGGAGUGGACUCACCUCUGGUGUACCGGUUGUCACGCCAGUGGCAUCGCCGGGUAGCUAUGUGGGGAAAGGAUAACCGCUGAAAGCAUCUAAGCGGGAAACCUGCCUGAAGAUAAGUCUUCCUGGAGGCUUUGACCUCCCUGAAGAGUCGUUCGAGACCAGGACGUUGAUAGGUUGGAUGUGCAAGCGCUGUGAGGCGUUGAGCUGACCAAUACUAAUUGCUCGUGAAGCUUGAUCC
rnacentral:rRNA from 1 species